rnacentral:rRNA from 1 species
UACGUAGGGCGCAAGCGUUGUCCGGAAUUAUUGGGCGUAAAGAGCUCGUAGGCGGUUUGUCGCGUCUGCUGUGAAAACUCGGGGCUUAACUCCGGGCCUGCAGUGGGUACGGGCAGACUAGAGUGCGGUAGGGGAGACUGGAAUUCCUGGUGUAGCGGUGAAAUGCGCAGAUAUCAGGAGGAACACCGGUGGCGAAGGCGGUUCUCUGGGCAUGUCCUGACGCUGAGGAGCGAAAGUGUGGGGAGCGAACAGG